UGGGGAAUCUUGCACAAUGGGGGCAACCCUGAUGCAGCGACGCCGCGUGAGCGAUGAAGCCCUUCGGGGCGUAAAGCUCUUUCGACCGGAACGAUAAUGACGGUACCGGGAGAAGAAGCUGCGGCUAACUACGUGCCAGCAGCCGCGGUAAUACGUAGGCAGCAAGCGUUGUUCGGAGUUACUGGGCGUAAAGAGUGCGUAGGCGGUUUUCUAAGUUCGGUGUGAAAUCUCCCGGCUUAACUGGGAGGGUGCGCCGAAGACUGGGAAGCUGGAGUGUGGGAAAGGCAGGCGGAAUUCCUGGUGUAGCGGUCGAAUGCGUAGAUAUCAGGAGGAACACCUGCGGUGUAGACAGCUUUCUGGACCAAAACUGACGCUGAGGCACGAAAGCGUGGGUAGCAAACA
rnacentral:rRNA from 1 species